UGCGGUAUAAGUUCUCAAGAUACAAGUCACAUAAUUACUACCGGCUACAAGGAAUAAAUGUUACGAAUUUACAAAGGGAAUCAAAAUUCUAUUACAAGAGAACAAGUCGGAACUAUUCCCAUCCAUGGUCAUUCAAAUUAUUCAAAUUACUCAAGUUCAACCAUUCAAGCGUCUUUCAUUCAUGAUUCAUUGUGUUACAGUACAUGCCAUUUCAAGAUUACAAAAAAGUUACAAAGGUCCAAAGAAACUUUUACAAAAAAAAUGCAUUUAAUCAGUUACAAGAAUGUAUCCUAA
rnacentral:lncRNA from 1 species